rnacentral:lncRNA from 1 species
GCCAGAAGUCCUCUGUGGGUGCAGGCUGCAGCUGCAGAGAGAGUUGAGGCUCUGGCUAAGAUGAAAGGACUUUGGGAGCGGCAUGGGGGGAUGCCAGAAAGUCUUUCCCUCUUCUCCUCUCCUCUGGGGUCUCCAUGGUGACCGGGCAGGGGUCCGAUAGAUAUUCUAGUUAUGCGACUUGGGCCAAUCCUAUAUCCACCUCCCACAGGGUUCUUGACUCCACAUGCAGAGCGGGCUGAAGCCACUCCUGCUAUCCAGGCAGCGCCUGUCCUAACAAGGAUUCAAUCAAUAUCUCUUGCACUUAUGCGAAGAUUUUCCUAAAAUACCCAAGACUUCCGGGGCAGCACUCCAGCGCUAACAUGAUUCCACAUGUGUUGUGAGUUAGCAGCCUGCUACUGUCUGUGUAAACGCAAGAGCUGGGUUUGGUUUGCCGUUCUGAAAUACACCGGUGAAAGUCAGCAGUCUCCUCCUCGAAAUCAGACGGAGGGCAAAAGGCAGAAGAAGAUCGCGAUAAGACCCAGGAGGUAACAGUCAUAGGGGUGGAGAUCUGCUUCAUAAAAAGCCACCGCAGGGGCACCAGAAGGGCACAUGUGACCACCAGGCAGGGGUGCGAACCCUUCUUCGCAGUCACCCCGAUCACCCACUCAUUUUACAGCCCAGGGACUGCAAAACGGACUAGCCCAUGCCAAGGAAGACGGGACCGAAGGCUGGAGCGAGCGCCUGCAGGCUGAUGGAGUGACUGACUGACAACUUACACUCAAGCAAGAAAUCAAAUAGAAAUGGAGCCAGGAAGUGCUCCACAGAGGACAUAACUGAGAGAUGCAAGCAAGAAUUAGCUCCCUCUCGGUGUGACAGAGUAAACACUAGAUCAGUGGUGAGCUGGGGGGCGGGGAGGGGCGACAAGGGGAUGGAGGAGACACAACACGUGAGACAUUGCCUACCUUCAUUACCAACUGUGCCUUUAAAGACACGGGAGGUUUUAAUGCGUGUAGCCAUGCUGAUCUUUGUACUUAUGAGUGGAAAACUUUUUUGUUUGCUUGCUUGCUUGUUUUAUUCUUCCGUGGGGAUCGUAGCCAGGGCUCUGUUCACGCCGACCACGUAGUCUACUACUGAGCUGCGUCUCAGUCUCCCCCUCCCGCGACCCCAUAGGAGUUUUUCCUGUAAGGAUCUUGAGUCCUGGCAUGACAUUAAAGAAAAGCAGUACAAUUGCGCAGAACCACUUUUACCUCGCCGUAUAAAGUGUAGCGUGCUUCCUGAAGCUGCGUCUAAUCUAAUCGCCUUCUGUUUCCCCUGUCACGGAAGUAGCAGAGCGAAACGCUCUGAUUUGAAUUCGUGAACUAGUUCAUCUUUCUGGCAUUCCUGGUGAGUUUUCAGUGUGCUGCUGACAGAGACAUGAGUUUUCUAGAGGCCCUUCUGCCUCCCACAUCCGCUGCAUCUUCCCGAGCUGGCAGCAGACACUGACAGGCCCUGAUACCCAGGACUUGAAGAGAGAGGUUUGCUCCACAGGUGGUCCUGGGCACACAGGUCGGCUCCUCCAUACUGGACACUGCUCGCUCGCUUUUCUUCUUCUACUCCUUUAACUUCAUGGUUUGGUUUGGUUUGUUUCAAUUUAGCAUUUUCUGGGCAACCAGGCUUACUCCAAGAUUGUGCGGAGAAAGACUGGUCGAUAAAAAUAAAGGGGAGGGGGCCAGUGAGUGAAGAAAAAGGUAUGGCUGAGAUGGGAGGGGAGAAUAUGAAGGAAGUGGAGAUGCAGCAAGUUUGGGGGUUUUGUUUGUCCAUCUUGUUUUUAAAGUGGGAUAAGAGGGCCAGUAAGAUGGCUCAGUGGGCAAAGGUGACUGCUACCAAGCCUGAAGACCUGAGUGUGAUCCCUGGGGACCCAUAUCGUGAAAGGAGAGAGCCGGCUUCUGAAAGUACUCCUCUGACUUCCAUUCACAUAAAAUACAAAAAUAUUGAUAUAAUAUUUUUUAGAGAUGAGAUAAUAAUAAUACUGCUUUUCUGGAGUCAGGAGGAUUAGGGCACAGGGCCUUUUUGCCCACAUUGCCUUCAGUAGCAUCUGUCUCUCCUCAGGGACUUCACUUCCUCAGUUCCUCUCCAAUGUCACCUCACAACAGGGUUGUCUACCUGUGUAAAAGCCACUGCCUUCUCUUGUCCUCUAAUUGUUUAAACUGUUCUAUUUAUCUUUACAGCGAUUGUUAGAACCCAUUACAUCCCACACUUACUGGUU